UGUGUACUCCCUCCGUUCCAAAAUACUUGACUUCCAUUUGUCCAAAAAUGGAUGUACCUAUAUACUAAGACAUGUCUAGAUACAUAUAUAUUUUGACAAAUAGAAGGCAUGUAUUGUGCAACGGGGGGAGUAGAAU
rnacentral:pre_miRNA from 1 species